CAGCAGCCGCGGUAAUACGUAGGUGGCAAGCGUUAUCCGGAAUUAUUGGGCGUAAAGCGCGCGUAGGUGGUUUUUUAAGUCUGAUGUGAAAGCCCACGGCUCAACCGUGGAGGGUCAUUGGAAACUGGAAAACUUGAGUGCAGAAGAGGAAAGUGGAAUUCCAUGUGUAGCGGUGAAAUGCGCAGAGAUAUGGAGGAACACCAGUGGCGAAGGCGACUUUCUGGUCUGUAACUGACGCUGAUGUGCGAAAGCGUGGGGAUCAAACAGGAUUAGAUACCCCCGUAGUCCCUGUCUCUUAUAC
rnacentral:rRNA from 1 species